UACGAAGGGGCUAGCGUUGUUCGGAAUCACUGGGCGUAAAGGGUGCGUAGGCGGGUCUUUAAGUCAGGGGUGAAUCCUGGAGCUCAACUCCAGAACUGCCUUUGAUACUGAAGAUCUUGAGUUCGGGAGAGGUGAGUGGAACUGCGAGUGUAGAGGUGAAAUUCGUAGAUAUUCGCAAGAACACCAGUGGCGAAGGCGGCUCACUGGCCCGAUACUGACGCUGAGGCACGAAAGCGUGGGGAGCAAACAGG
rnacentral:rRNA from 1 species